CCGCCUAUAUAAAAAUUAAGACACAAUUCAUUAUGAUAUAUUGUUUAUGAAUGUACACAUAUGUAGAAAAGUUUAAAAACACAUGUGGAAAUAGUGUUUGCCUCUGAGAAGGAAUUCACAGGGAGCUCACUUGUGUUUGUAAUGUUUUAUUUUUUAAGUGCUGGAUGGUAGAUACUCAGUUCUCAUUUUCUGUACAUUUUGGAAUAUCUGAAAUAUUUCACAAUUUUUUUAUGAUUAUAUCUGGAACCUGAGGUGAGAAGACAGAAGAACCCCCAGUACUAACAAGAACCCUUUCUAUUUGCUUCAGGAAGAAGGAGAGAGCUUCAAAGAGGAGGAGAGGGCUAUGAUUGAGGUGUUCUGAGAAAAUGUCAACCCACUCAAAUGCAGAGUGGUCAGACUCAAAGCCACCCCAAAAUAAGCCAGUGCUUGGAAGUGUGUCCCAUCUUCCCCUCACCAUAAAGGUUAUAAUAUUGGUUUUAUUUCAGAUAAAACAGAAUUUCAUCUUCCAAACUCA
rnacentral:lncRNA from 10 species